GGAGAGCUUCAGGCGGUCGCCGGCCGGAGCUUCCGGCGGGAGGAAAGUCCGAACUCCGACGGACAGCAUGCUCGCUAACGGCGAGGCGCAGUGAUGCGACGGAAAGUGCAACAGAAAGCAAACCGCCAGGGGCUUUCGGGCCUCCGGUAAGGGUGAAAGGGUGCGGUAAGAGCGCACCGCUCCGCCGGCGACGGCGCGAGGCACGGUAAACCCCAUGCGGAGCAAGACCAAAUAGGGGAGCGGUUCUGCGGGCCGUCCGUCCCGCCCGCCUUCGGGCGGCCGCUUCCGGGUAGGUUGCUAGAGACCGGCAGCAAUGCCGGCCCUAGAGGAAUGACCGCACCCCGCUCUUCGGAGCGGAGGCACAGGAUUCGGCUUACGGAGCUCUCCGGCA
rnacentral:RNase_P_RNA from 1 species